rnacentral:tRNA from 1 species
UUAAUUGAAACCAAAAAUUGGUAAAUUAUUGUUAAUAAUUUUAUUGAAUAUUUUUAUUUAUUCCAAUUAAA